AGUUGGUGGAGUGAUUUGUCUGGUUAAUUCCGAUAACGAACGAGACCUUAACCUGCUAAAUAGGAGGAGGAACUUUUUGUUCUUUACUUACUUCUUAGAGGGACUUUGCGUGUCUAACGCAAGGAAGUUUGAGGCAAUAACAGG
rnacentral:rRNA from 1 species